UACGUAGGUGGCAAGCGUUGUCCGGAUUUAUUGGGUUUAAAGGGUGCGUAGGCGGCUUUGUAAGUCAGUGGUGAAAUAUGGCAGCUCAACUGUCAGGGUGCCAUUGAUACUGCGGAGCUUGAGUACAGAUGAGGUAGGCGGAAUUGACGGUGUAGCGGUGAAGUGCUUAGAUAUCGUCAAGAACACCGAUAGCGAAGGCAGCUUACUAGGCUGUAACUGACGCUGAGGCACGAAAGCGUGGGGAGCGAACAGG
rnacentral:rRNA from 1 species